GUAAUUCCAAGAUUUCACCAGAUGGCUGGUUUGGUGUCAGUCUUGAUUCUUCAGUACUCAAGUGGAGACUGUAAGCCCUUUGGGCAAAGACACCGUGUCUUAUACCUGCACUCUUACAAUAUUUGCUGAUUCAUCUCCCUACCUGUAAGUCUCCACUCUCCAACCGAACCUCCACAAGUGAUAUUCCAAAAGCAAAGGAAAAAAUGCUGUUCUGGGGCUUAGCUCCCUUGAAGAGGUCUUUAUUUGUCUCGGAGCCUGAAUCAGCCUUUUGGAGAGGAGGACUUCCUCAUGCUCAGUUAGUAAACAUCACUUACAACAAGGAACUCCCCAACCACGUUUUGUUGUUGUGGACAGAGUUUCACAUCAGGGAAUCAACUCUACAAAUUUCACUAAAUUCAGCAACUGACUUCAUCUGGUUAUUGAGUUUGGAGAAUUCCCAUGGGAAGAUCAAUGUGACCUGAAAAGUUUCAAAUAGUCAUUUCUGAAAGCUCUUAUUCAAAAAAGUGUCGAUGUUACUGAGAUCUCAGAUUGACUUGAGGAAGUUUUCAUAAACCAGAAUAUUCAGAAAUCUGCAACAAUCAAAUUGCAAAAUUUAUAUUCUGAAAAAAUGGAAAACUUAACCUGUUAUUCUUAAGUUAUACUUUCAUUUACUUCAAACAGUAAAUAAAUAAAUGACUGAAGCAAAGUACACCCUAACAAGACACCAGUUAUUAGAAUGUCAGAGUAGGACCAAUGUCUGGUUUUAGGAUAUACUGUGUGCAAAGUAUUUUGAGAAGGAGCCUGGAAUAAUGAAGACAGUAAUUCACAUGGAACCAGAAGACUUGGGUAAGAAUCCUCCCUCAUACACUUACUAGCUGUGUAACCAUGGACAAGGCCUAUAACCACAGACGGGCUGGUAAAUGUUUAGCAACUAGGUCUCCAGGAAAAAAAAAUAAUCCUGACACACUUUAAAGCUUAAUUUCCAUUAUUAACAUUUUCUCCAUCACUUUCUUA